rnacentral:rRNA from 1 species
GGCAUGGUUGUCGUCAGCUCGUGUCGUGAGAUGUUGGGUUAAGUCCGCAACGAGCGCAACCCCUACUUGUUAGUUGCCAUCAUUCAGUUGGGCACUCUAGCGAGACUGCCGGUAAUAAACCGGAGGAAGGUGGGGAUGACGUCAAAUCAUCAUGCCCUUAUGACCUGGGCUACACACGUGCUACAAUGGUUGGUACAACGAGUUGCGAGUCGGUGACGGCGAGCUAAUCUCUUAAAGCCAAUCUCAGUUCGGAUUGUAGGCUGCAACUCGCCUACAUGAAGUCGGAAUCGCUAGUAAUCGCGGAUCAGCACGCCGCGGUGAAUACGUUCCCGGGCCUU